UACGGAGGAUCCAAGCGUUAUCCGGAUUUAUUGGGUUAAAGGGUGCGUAGGCGGCCUAUUAAGUCAGGGGUGAAAGACGGUGGCUCAACCAUCGCAGUGCCUUUGAUACUGAUAGGCUUGAAUACACUAGAGGUAGGCGGAAUGUGACAAGUAGCGGUGAAAAUGCAUAGAUAUGUCACAGAACACCGAUUGCGAAGGCAGCU
rnacentral:rRNA from 1 species